GAUGAACGCUGGCGGCGUGCCUAAUACAUGCAAGUCGAGCGAACAGACGAGGAGCUUGCUCCUCUGACGUUAGCGGCGGACGGGUGAGUAACACGUGGAUAACCUACCUAUAAGACUGGGAUAACUUCGGGAAACCGGAGCUAAUACCGGAUAAUAUAUUGAACCGCAUGGUUCAAUAGUGAAAGACGGUUUUGCUGUCACUUAUAGAUGGAUCCGCGCCGCAUUAGCUAGUUGGUAAGGUAACGGCUUACCAAGGCGACGAUGCGUAGCCGACCUGAGAGGGUGAUCGGCCACACUGGAACUGAGACACGGUCCAGACUCCUACGUGAGGCAGCUGUAGGGAAUCUUCCGCAAUGGGCGAAAGCCUGACGGAGCAACGCCGCGUGAGUGAUGAAGGUCUUCGGAUCGUAAAACUCUGUUAUUAGGGAAGAACAAAUGUGUAAGUAACUAUGCACGUCUUGACGGUACCUAAUCAGAAAGCCACGGCUAACUACGUG
rnacentral:rRNA from 1 species